AUACGGAGGACGCGAGCGUUAUCCGGAUUCAUUGGGUUUAAAGGGUGCGCAGGCGGCCGUGCAAGUCAGCGGUGAAAGCCCGGGGCUCAACCCCGGAAGUGCCGUUGAUACUGCAUGGCUGGAAUGCGGUCGAGGCGGGCGGAACGUGGCGUGUAGCGGUGAAAUGCGUAGAUAUUCCACAGAAAGCCGAUAGCGGAGGCAGCUCGCCAGGCCUGCAUUGACGCUCGGGCACGAAAGCGUGGGGAUCGAACAGGAUUAGAUACCCUGGUAGUCCACGCCGUAAACGAUGGGCGCUCGUCGUCGGCGGCAGACAGUCGGCGGCCAAGCGAAAGCGAUAAGCGCCCCACCUGGGGAGUACGGUCGCAAGGCUGAAACUCAAAUGAAUUGACGGGG
rnacentral:rRNA from 1 species